rnacentral:rRNA from 1 species
AGCGUACACGGUGGAUGCCCUGGCAGUCAGAGGCGAUGAAGGACGUGCUAAUCUGCGAUAAGCGCCGGUAAGGUGAUAUGAACCGUUAUAACCGGCGAUUUCCGAAUGGGGAAACCCAGUGUGAUUCGUCACACUAUCAUUAACUGAAUCCAUAGGUUAAUGAGGCGAACCGGGGGAACUGAAACAUCUAAGUACCCCGAGGAAAAGAAAUCAACCGAGAUUCCCCCAGUAGCGGCGAGCGAACGGGGAGGAGCCCAGAGCCUGAAUCAGCAUGUGUGUUAGUGGAAGCGUCUGGAAAGGUGCGCGAUACAGGGUGACAGCCCCGUACACAAAAGCGCAUGUGCUGUGAGCUCGAUGAGUAGGGCGGGACACGUGGUAUCCUGUCUGAAUAUGGGGGGACCAUCCUCCAAGGCUAAAUACUCCUGACUGACCGAUAGUGAACCAGUACCGUGAGGGAAAGGCGAAAAGAACCCCGGCGAGGGGAGUGAAAAAGAACCUGAAACCGUGUACGUACAAGCAGUGGGAGCACAGGUUUACCUGUGUGACUGCGUACCUUUUGUAUAAUGGGUCAGCGACUUAUAUUCUGUAGCAAGGUUAACCGUAUAGGGGAGCCGUAGGGAAACCGAGUCUUAACCGGGCGUUAAGUUGCAGGGUAUAGACCCGAAACCCGGUGAUCUAGCCAUGGGCAGGUUGAAGGUUGGGUAACACUAACUGGAGGACCGAACCGACUAAUGUUGAAAAAUUAGCGGAUGACCUGUGGCUGGGGGUGAAAGGCCAAUCAAACCGGGAGAUAGCUGGUUCUCCCCGAAAGCUAUUUAGGUAGCGCCUCGUGAAUUCAUCUCCGGGGGUAGAGCACUGUUUCGGCUAGGGGGCCAUCCCGGCUUACCAACCCGAUGCAAACUGCGAAUACCGGAGAAUGUUAUCACGGGAGACACACGGCGGGUGCUAACGUCCGUCGUGAAGAGGGAAACAACCCAGACCGCCAGCUAAGGUCCCAAAGUCAUGGUUAAGUGGGAAACGAUGUGGGAAGGCCCAGACAGCCAGGAUGUUGGCUUAGAAGCAGCCAUCAUUUAAAGAAAGCGUAAUAGCUCACUGGUCGAGUCGGCCUGCGCGGAAGAUGUAACGGGGCUAAACCAUGCACCGAAGCUGCGGCAGCGAACGUAUCACCCAAGACAACUUUACGGAGUUGACGAUUGACGGAGCGAAGCGACGUCAAAGCGUUCAUUAAAGUCGAGUUGGCUUAGGGAUACGUUCGUUGGGUAGGGGAGCGUUCUGUAAGCCUGUGAAGGUGUGUCGUGAGGCAUGCUGGAGGUAUCAGAAGUGCGAAUGCUGACAUAAGUAACGAUAAAGCGGGUGAAAAGCCCGCUCGCCGGAAGACCAAGGGUUCCUGUCCAACGUUAAUCGGGGCAGGGUGAGUCGACCCCUAAGGCGAGGCCGAAAGGCGUAGUCGAUGGGAAACGGGUUAAUAUUCCCGUACUUGGUGUUACUGCGAAGGGGGGACGGAGAAGGCUAUGUUGGCCGGGCGACGGUUGUCCCGGUUUAAGCGUGUAGGUGUGUGUUCCAGGUAAAUCCGGUUCACUUUAACACUGAGGCGUGACGACGAGGCACUACGGUGCUGAAGCAACAAAUGCCCUGCUUCCAGGAAAAGCCUCUAAGCAUCAGGUAACAUCAAAUCGUACCCCAAACCGACACAGGUGGUCAGGUAGAGAAUACCAAGGCGCUUGAGAGAACUCGGGUGAAGGAACUAGGCAAAAUGGUGCCGUAACUUCGGGAGAAGGCACGCUGACACGUAGGUGAAGUGAUUUACUCAUGGAGCUGAAGUCAGUCGAAGAUACCAGCUGGCUGCAACUGUUUAUUAAAAACACAGCACUGUGCAAACACGAAAGUGGACGUAUACGGUGUGACGCCUGCCCGGUGCCGGAAGGUUAAUUGAUGGGGUCAGCGUAAGCGAAGCUCCUGAUCGAAGCCCCGGUAAACGGCGGCCGUAACUAUAACGGUCCUAAGGUAGCGAAAUUCCUUGUCGGGUAAGUUCCGACCUGCACGAAUGGCGUAAUGAUGGCCAGGCUGUCUCCACCCGAGACUCAGUGAAAUUGAACUCGCUGUGAAGAUGCAGUGUACCCGCGGCAAGACGGAAAGACCCCGUGAACCUUUACUAUAGCUUGACACUGAACAUUGAGCCUUGAUGUGUAGGAUAGGUGGGAGGCUUUGAAGUGUGGACGCCAGUCUGCAUGGAGCCGACCUUGAAAUACCACCCUUUAAUGUUUGAUGUUCUAACGUGGACCCGUAAUCCGGGUUGCGGACAGUGUCUGGUGGGUAGUUUGACUGGGGCGGUCUCCUCCUAAAGAGUAACGGAGGAGCACGAAGGUUGGCUAAUCCUGGUCGGACAUCAGGAGGUUAGUGCAAUGGCAUAAGCCAGCUUGACUGCGAGCGUGACGGCGCGAGCAGGUGCGAAAGCAGGUCAUAGUGAUCCGGUGGUUCUGAAUGGAAGGGCCAUCGCUCAACGGAUAAAAGGUACUCCGGGGAUAACAGGCUGAUACCGCCCAAGAGUUCAUAUCGACGGCGGUGUUUGGCACCUCGAUGUCGGCUCAUCACAUCCUGGGGCUGAAGUAGGUCCCAAGGGUAUGGCUGUUCGCCAUUUAAAGUGGUACGCGAGCUGGGUUUAGAACGUCGUGAGACAGUUCGGUCCCUAUCUGCCGUGGGCGCUGGAGAACUGAGGGGGGAACGAAAGAUUUUACGCUGAGGCAAGGCGGCAAAUGAAGGAAAGGAAGGAGCAUACAGAAGUAUGUGACUGACUUUGC